CGUCCCCCUGCCAUAGCGCCCCCCCCUCUAAGGACACCCCCUCCCUAUAGGGACACCCCCUCUACAAGGACACCCCCCCCAACAAGGGCACCCCCCCGUCGCACCCCAUCCUGGGGGUCCCCGCCUCCUUCUCGCCCCGGGGGAGCCCCCGGGGUUCAGGGGGCGGCCGGGCCAGGCAGCCCCCGGGGGGGUCCCCACCGUCCCCCCCCUUCUCCCCGCUGCCGGGACGGCGCCGGCGGCGGAUUCGUUUGGAAGCCAGGGGAGGGCCGGGGCCAUCGAAACGGACCGAGCCCGGGCACCGCGACCGCCCCGACGGCGGGAGGACGCGCCGCCGCCUUCCCUGUCGGCGACACGGCUGUCGCGACAGAACCGGCAGCCCUUCGGGGAGCGGUAAAGCGGGGGCUUAACGCACCCGGCUGCGCGGAGCCCCACGACGGCCCUAUUCCCACGGAACCCCCACCUCGGCGCCAACGGGGAGCGCCGCCUCUAUCGCGACAGUCGCCGACGGGGCUCUGCGCGCAGCGGGCUCCAGCUCGGGGGGCCCGGCGGGAUGGGGCCCCCGACGCGCUCCCGGCUCAGGCGCGCUCCCGGGGGAGGCGGGGGGCGGCGGCGCUCACGGGCACGGGCGCGGACACGAGCGGGGGCUGCGCGCUCUGCCCCGCGCACACUCGCGCCCCGCUCCGCUCCCCGAAAAGCGCCGGUGCCGGUACCGGUGCUGGUGCCUCCGGUGCCCCGGUAGGUGCCGAGCACGGGGGGGGGGUCGCGGGGAGCCGGUACCCGGUUGACGGCAACCGCGGGGACGCGCUCCCGGUGCGCCCCGUCCGGGCGCGGAGAGCCCAGCACCGGGAACCGGGAACCGGGCACCGGACACCGGGAACCGGGCACCGGGAGCCGGCCCGCGGGUCUGGGGGGGGUCCCGUCGGGUCUCACGGACGCGGAGCUGGGGAUGGGGGGGAGCGACCCCCGCCGCGGCAUCGCCGGGAACCGGAGCGGGCGGGGAGGCUCCCGGGGAUCCCGGGGGCAAGGUCGGGGCUUGCCCCAACGGGACCGGGAGGACCGGGGCGGGUGCGCGGCGCCGUCGCCGGGAUUUCGUUGCCGUUCGUUUACCGGGACGCGGAAAACGCCGGGGACCGACGGAACCCACCCAGGGCUGGGUGGGGGCUUUGGGUUCGGUCCCCCCCGGCCGGUCCUAACCCCGCUCUCCGCCCGCAGCCGCCGGGAUGA
rnacentral:lncRNA from 1 species